rnacentral:rRNA from 1 species
UACGUAGGGGGCAAGCGUUAUCCGGAUUUACUGGGUGUAAAGGGAGCGCAGGCGGCAGCGCAAGUCUGAUGUGAAAGCCCGGGGCCCAACCGCGGGACUGCAUUGGAAACUGCGCAGCUGGAGUGCCGGAGGGGUAAGCGGAAUUCCUAGUGUAGCGGUGAAAUGCGUAGAUAUUAGGAGGAACACCAGUGGCGAAGGCGGCUUACUGGACGGCAACUGACGCUGAGGCUCGAAAGCGUGGGGAGCAAACA